UACGAAGGGUGCAAACGUUGCUCGGAAUUAUUGGGCGUAAAGCGCACGUAGGCGGCUUGGCAAGUCGGAUGUGAAAUCCCUCGGCUCAACCAAGGAAGUGCAUCCGAAACUGCCGAGCUUGAGUACUUAAGAGGAUCGCGGAAUUCCCGGUGUAGAGGUGAAAUUCGUAGAUAUCGGGAGGAACACCGGUGGCGAAGGCGGCGACCUGGGUCGAGACUGACGCUGAGGCGCGAAAGCGUGGGGAGCAAACAGG
rnacentral:rRNA from 1 species